rnacentral:rRNA from 1 species
UACGAAGGGGGCUAGCGUUGUUCGGAAUCACUGGGCGUAAAGGGCGCGUAGGCGGCUUUAUAGGUCGGGGGUGAAAGCCUGUGGCUCAACCACAGAAUUGCCUUCGAUACUGUAGAGCUUUGAGACCGGAAGAGGUAAGUGGAACUGCGAGUGUAGAGGUGAAAUUCGUAGAUAUUCGCAAGAACACCAGUGGCGAAGGCGGCUUACUGGUCCGGUUCUGACGCUGAGGCGCGAAAAGCGUGGGGGAGCAAACAGG